GUUGAACGCUGGCGGCAUGCCUUACACAUGCAAGUCGAACGGCAGCACGGGAGCAAUCCUGGUGGCGAGUGGCGAACGGGUGAGUAAUAUAUCGGAACGUGCCCAGUCGUGGGGGAUAACGUAGCGAAAGCUACGCUAAUACCGCAUACGAUCUAUGGAUGAAAGCGGGGGAUCGCAAGACCUCGCGCGAUUGGAGCGGCCGAUAUCAGAUUAGGUAGUUGGUGAGGUAAAGGCUCACCAAGCCGACGAUCUGUAGCUGGUCUGAGAGGACGACCAGCCACACUGGGACUGAGACACGGCCCAGACUCCUACGGGAGGCAGCAGUGGGGAAUUUUGGACAAUGGGCGCAAGCCUGAUCCAGCUAUGCCGCGUGCAGGAUGAAGGCCUUCGGGUUGUAAACUGCUCUUGUACGGAACGAAACGGCGAGCUCUAAUACAGUUUGCUAAUGACGGUACCGUAAGAAUAAGCACCGGCUAACUACGUGCCAGCCGCCGCAGUAA
rnacentral:rRNA from 1 species